GUGAGGAGAACUAAGGGAUCCCAGACAUGCAGCACCAUCGCCACCUCCUGCAGGAGCAACCACACUGCAAUCAGAGUUCAUCUCUGGAGACAGAAGAAAGGAUCGCAGAUGGAGUCAAGGGGACAUAAACCACUCCCAUCAACGCCCUCUUCAGGAAGGUGCCAUCACUUUGCCGAUCGUAUUGUUCCAGCACCUGACUGCCUCCUUCAGGUCCCACCGGAAGAACCAACCGCCCGCCUGGCUUCAGUUGCUCCAAAAGCUUUUGUAAAAGAAGAAAAAAAAUUGGAUCUUUCACACAUAUUUAUUUAAAUUGUUUUUAAAUAUGCAGGAACUGUCAUUGAAAAGCCUUAGAUUAGCCAAACAACCUCUCAUCUCCGGCAAAUGGUGUCCUGACCACAAAUGGAGUGCUACAUUAACAAGAGAGUUAUCUGAAUGUUUUAAUGUGACUCAAAGUAUCGCUUUCUGAAUCAUCAUUUGAUUAUGAGUUUAGAAAUUCUGAAAGCUUUUAAAAGCAAACUAUGAGUUAACUUUUAAUAUUGAUCUAAGUGUUAAAUAAAAAAUUUUAAUCACC